rnacentral:rRNA from 1 species
AGAGUUUGAUCAUGGCUCAGAGCGAACGCUGGCGGCAGGCUUAACACAUGCAAGUCGAGCGGGCACUUCGGUGUCAGCGGCAGACGGGUGAGUAACACGUGGGAACGUACCCUUUUCGGAACAACUCUGGGAAACUGGAGCUAAUACCGGAUACGCCCUUUUGGGGAAAGGCUUGCUGCCGAAGGAUCGGCCCGCGUCUGAUUAGCUAGUUGGUGGGGUAAUGGCCUACCAAGGCGACGAUCAGUAGCUGGUCUGAGAGGAUGAUCAGCCACACUGGGACUGAGACACGGCCCAGACUCCUACGGGAGGCAGCAGUGGGGAAUAUUGGACAAUGGGCGCAAGCCUGAUCCAGCCAUGCCGCGUGAGUGAUGAAGGCCUUAGGGUUGUAAAGCUCUUUUGUCCGGGACGAUAAUGACGGUACCGGAAGAAUAAGCCCCGGCUAACUUCGUGCCAGCAGCCGCGGUAAUACGAAGGGGGCUAGCGUUGCUCGGAAUCACUGGGCGUAAAGGGCGCGUAGGCGGCCAUUCAAGUCGGGGGUGAAAGCCUGUGGCUCAACCACAGAAUUGCCUUCGAUACUGUUUGGCUUGAGACCGGAAGAGGUAAGUGGAACUGCGAGUGUAGAGGUGAAAUUCGUAGAUAUUCGCAAGAACACCAGUGGCGAAGGCGGCUUACUGGUCCGGUUCUGACGCUGAGGCGCGAAAGCGUGGNNANNAAACAGGAUUAGAUACCCUAGUAGUCC